GGCCGGCUAGCUCAGUUGGUUAGAGCGUGGUGCUAAUAACGCCAAGGUCGUCGGUUCGAUCCCGGCGUUGGCCA
rfam:Postia placenta Mad-698-R POSPLscaffold_114_Cont5050, whole genome shotgun sequence.